rnacentral:rRNA from 1 species
UACAGAGGGGGCAAGCGUUGUUCGGAAUUACUGGGCGUAAAGGGCGCGUAGGCGGCCUUCUAAGUCGAACGUGAAAUCCCCGGGCUCAACCCGGGAACUGCGUCCGAUACUGGGAGGCUUGAAUCCGGGAGAGGGAUGUGGAAUUCCAGGUGUAGCGGUGAAAUGCGUAGAUAUCUGGAGGAACACCGGUGGCGAAGGCGGCAUCCUGGACCAACACUGACGCUGAUGAGCGAAAGCCAGGGGAGCAAACGGG